rnacentral:rRNA from 1 species
GAUGAACACUAGCGAUAGGCCUAACACAUGCAAGUCGAGGGGCAGCACAUGAGUAGCAAUACGAUGGUGGCGACCGGCGCACAAGUGAGUAACACAUAUGCAACCUACCUUUAACAGGGGGAAUAACCCAUUGAAAAACGGACUAAUACUCCAUAACACAGAAGUCCCGCAUGGGAAUAUUUGUUAAAGAUUAAUCAAUUAAAGAUAAACAUACAUUCCAUUAGCUUGUUGUGAGGUAACGGCUUACCAAGGCGAAGACGGGUAGCCGGCCUGAGAGGGCGAUCGGCCACACUGGAACUGAGAUAUGGUCCAGACUCCUACGGGA